CAAUUGCGUAUAUUAAAGUUGUUGCAGUUAAAAAGCUCGUAGUUGGAUUUGUGGCUGUCACGGGCGGCCUAUCACUUAGUGUUAGUGCUUGCCUGUGUCACCAUCCUUGGGUGGAGCCCGUGUGGCAUUAGGUUGUCGUGCGGGGGAUGCCCAUCGUUUACUGUGAGAAAAUUAGAGUGUUCAAAGCAGGCUUAUGCCAUUGAAUAUGUUAGCAUGGAAUAAUAAGAUAGGACCUCGGUACUAUUUUGUUGGUUUGCGCACCGAGGUAAUGAUUAAUAGGGACAGUUGGGGGUAUUCGUAUUUCAUUGUCAGAGGUGAAAUUCUUGGAUUUCUGAAAGACGAACUACUGCGAAAGCAUUUACCAAGGAUGUUUUCAUUAA
rnacentral:rRNA from 1 species